rnacentral:rRNA from 1 species
CCUACGGGUGGCAGCAGUGAGGAAUAUUGGUCAAUGGACGAGAGUCUGAACCAGCCAAGUAGCGUGAAGGAUGACUGCCCUAUGGGUUGUAAACUUCUUUUAUAUGGGAAUAAAAUGUUCCACGUGUGGGAUUUUGUAUGUACCAUAUGAAUAAGGAUCGGCUAACUCCGUGCCAGCAGUCGCGGUAAUACGGAGGAUCCGAGCGUUAUCCGGAUUUAUUGGGUUUAAAGGGAGCGUAGGUGGAUUGUUAAGUCAGUUGUGAAAGUUUGCGGCUCAACCGUAAAAUUGCAGUUGAAACUGGCAGUCUUGAGUACAGUAGAGGUGGGCGGAAUUCGGGGUGUAGCGGUGAAAUGCUUAGAUAUCACGAAGAACUCCGAUUGCGAAGGCAGCUCACUGGACUGCAACUGACACUGAGGCUCGAAAGUGUGGGGAGCAAACAGGAUUAGAUACCCUUGUAGUC